UACGAAGGGGGCAAGCGUUGUUCGGAAUGACUGGGCGUAAAGGGCGCGUAGGCGGCGCGUUGCGUCAGAUGUGAAAUCCCCGGGCUCAACCUGGGAAUGGCAUUUGAUACGGGCGUGCUGGAAUCCGUGAGAGGUUGGUGGAAUUCCCAGUGUAGAGGUGAAAUUCGUAGAUAUUGGGAAGAACACCAGUGGCGAAGGCGGCCAACUGGCACGGUAUUGACGCUGAGGCGCGAAAGCGUGGGGAGCAAACAGG
rnacentral:rRNA from 1 species